CCAAGCAAGCCAAGCAGAGCCGAGCAGUGUUGACUGGCCGACCGAUCGACUAGUACCGGACUAGUAGCCAUGGCGCCUCGCUUCCCCUAACCCUAACCGCAAUUCCGAUGGGAUCCCAGCCGCCGGCCUCCCGCGCGGCCCUCGAGCCCCUUGCCACGCUCGACCCCGCCGCGCUCGCCGGCGUCCCCGCCUCCUCCCCUCUCACCGUCCGCGCCGCCGCCCUCUCCGCCCACCUGCUCUACCUCGGCACCGGCGGCGGCAAGCUGCUCCUCUUCUCUCUCCAGGAUCCCUCCAACCCCGAGUUCCUCCGCCUCCUCCCCAUCGGCGCCACCAUCCCCGUCUCCGCCAUCCUCCCGCUCCCCUCCGUCGCCCGCCUCCUCGUCCACGCUGACGGUCUCCUCCUCCUCGCCGAUCCGCUCCUCACCCGCCCCGUCCGCCGCCUCGGCUCCCUGCGCAACGUCGCCGCCGUCGCUGCCCGCCGCGCUUCCGCUGACCCGGGAUCCCCGUCAUGCUCCAUCGCCGUCUCCGUCGGCAAGAAGCUGCUCCGCGUGGACCUCACGCUGCAGGACGGCGACGAGCUGGAUGUGCAGACGCGCGAGAUCGCCGCCGUCGAGGGGGUCAAGGCGCUCGCUUGGGUUGACGACUCCGUCUUCGUUGCCACCGCAACUGGGUACUCGCUCUUCUCUAGCAUCGCCGGCCAUGGUGUGGCCAUAUUCACGCUCCCAGAAUCCUCGGGGCGCCCAAGGGUGAGGCCACUCUCCGGAGGUGACGAGGUGAUGCUCCUGGUGGAUAAUGUGGGCGUGGUUGUCGACAGAUUUGGCCAGCCGGUCGGGAGUAGCUUGGUGUUCAACACCACACCAGACUGUAUAGCAGAGGUGUUCCCCUAUGUGAUUGUUGCUGGUGACUCCAAGGUGGAUGUGUACAGGAGGAGAAACGGGGCGCACCUACAGACAAUUCCUGUUGCCAGGACUGGUCAAGGUGUUUUGAUUGUGGCUAGCGAUGACGAUGGGAUUGGCACGGAGCUAGUUGUGAUCGCUACGGCUUAUAAGGUUUUUUGCUACCAUAAAGUAUCCACAGUAGAGCAGAUUAAGGCAUCCUUACGAAGAAAGAACUACAAGGAAGCUAUUUCUCUGCUAGAAGAGUUUGAGACAGAUGGUGAAAUCUCAAAAGAUAUGAUCUCCUUUGUCCAUGCACAACUUGGAUUCUUGUUGUUUUUUGACUUGCGUUUUGAGGAUGCAGUGAAUCAUUUCUUGCUCUCGGAGACUAUGCAGCCAUCAGAAAUAUUUCCAUUCAUCAUGCGGGAUCCUAACCGUUGGUCAGAUUUGGUGCCAAGAAAGCGUUAUUGGGGUUUGCAUCCACCCCCUAAGCCCCUUGAAGAAGUUAUUGAUGAUGGACUGGUAAUAGUUCAACAGGCAUUGUUUCUGAAAAAGGCAGGUGUGGAUACAGUUGUGGAUGAAGAUUUCCUUUCAAACCCACCAAGUAGAACUGAUCUUUUGGAACUAGCGAUCAGAAAUAUUAUCAGGUACCUAUGUGCGUCGCGGGUGAAAAAUCUGUCUUCUCUCGAGAUGGAAGGAGUUGAUACUUUUCUGAUGUAUCUUUAUAGAGCACUUGAUCUUGUUGAUGACAUGGAGAGGCUUGCAUCAUCUCAGAAUAGCUGUGUCGUGGAUGAACUAGAAUCCCUUUUGGAUGACUCUGGACAUUUGCGGACACUUGCCUUUUUAUAUGGCAGUAAAGGAAUGCGCUCCAAAGCUCUUGCUAUAUGGCGUAUAUUGGCAAGGAAUUACAUUGCAGGUUUGUGGAAAGAUCAGUCUGAAAAUGGUUCUUGUGGAACUUCAGUUGACAAAAGGUCUGAGGAAAUUGCCGCUAGAGAAGCAGCCAAGAUCCUCAAAACAUCAUCUGAUGAGGACCUUGUUCUAGAACAUCUUGGAUGGGUGGCAGACAUUGACCAAGAGCUGGCCAUUGCAGUUUUAACAUCAGAGAUGAGGGAAAAUCAACUCUCACCAGAAAAGGUUGUCGCUGCUGUUGAUACAGAGAAGGUUGUGAUACAUCAAAGAUAUUUGCAGUGGUUGAUUGAGGAUCAGGGUUGCGAUGACCCUCACUAUCACACAUCAUAUGCUCUUUCACUGGCCAAAUCUGCUAUUGAAGCAGUUCAUAUGGAGUCUAAAUAUAGAGGGAAAGGUGAUAGAGAGAUUGAUUCUGAUGCACAAUUCAUUUAUUUGUUAAGAGAGAAGUUGCAGUUGUUUCUGCAAGCUUCAGACCUGUAUGAUCCAGAAGACGUGCUCGAUGUGAUAGCAGAAUCUGAGCUAUGGCUGGAAAAGGCAAUAUUGUAUAGGAAGAUGGGCCAAGAGAAUAUUGUACUUCAGAUACUGGCAUUACUGUGCUGCUUGUUAUGUGAUGAAGGAAACUGGAGGAUAGUGAAGCUGCCGAGCAGUAUUGUGCAGAGAUUGGUCGAGAUGAUGCCUAUAUUCAGCUUUUGGGUUUGUAUUUGGACCCUCAAAAUGGGAAAGAGCCUAUGUUUACAGCAGCUGUACGGCUUCUUCAUAAUCAUGGGGAAUCUUUGGAUCCCAUGCAAGUAUUGGAGAGAUUAUCCCCAGAUAUGCCUCUUCAGUUGGCAUCAGAUACAAUUUUACGAAUGCUGAGAGCCCGAGUGCACCAUCAUCGUCAAGGGCAGAUUGUUCACAAUUUAUCACAUGCGACAAACCUCGAUGCACGGUUGACAAGAUUGGAGGAGAGAUCGAGGCAUGUGCAGCUAACCGAUGAGAGCAUCUGCGACUCCUGUCGAGCUCGCCUCGGCACCAAGCUAUUUGUGAUGUACCCUGAUGACUCGGUCGUUUGCUACAGGUGCUAUCGGAACCAGCAAGGUGAUUCCACGUCAGGGCGCGGUCGGAGCUUGAGGAAAGAUGUUAUGUUUAAGCAGAGCUGGCUUGUCAGUAGAUAGAGAGCGAUAAUGAAGAAUGCUGAGUGGUGUGCAUCAUUAUAGAAUGAGGCUAGCAUUCUACUGCAAUUGCUCACGUUUUUUUUUCUUCACAUCUUGAAAGUCGAGAUCCGAGCUUGGAAAGGCACUCGAAUUUAACAUAGGCCCUAAGAAUGUAACGAAUGUUUGUCCAUAGUGUUUUUUUUUCUUUUUCUUCCAGAGGUUAUGAAUACGAUAGAGGAGCUGUGGUGAUGUGCAACCUGUUCUAGUACUUGUAGUGCAUUGUUGAUAGAUACAAAUAAUAUACUGCUACGAGAGAGAUGGUAAAUAGAGAUUGCUGUUGAGGAA